ensembl:snoRNA
GCCGAGGUCUAUCCCGAUAGACCCCUCUCUGUAGGGUCAUAUCGUUGGAAACGCCUCGCACAUAAAAUCUGUAGUAUCCCAUGCCCUCAAAGUUGUCACAAUCAACAUUGUGGGCAAAAUACUGCAGGACAAAG